UACGAAGGGGGCUAGCGUUGUUCGGAAUUACUGGGCGUAAAGCGCGCGCAGGCGGUUUUUCAAGUCAGUGGUGAAAGCCCGGAGCUCAACUCCGGAACUGCCAUUGAAACUGUGAAACUUGAGGACGAGAGAGGUGAGUGGAAUUCCCAGUGUAGAGGUGAAAUUCGUAGAUAUUGGGAAGAACACCCGUGGCGAAGGCGGCUCUCUGGGACGGUACUGACGCUGAGACGCGAAAGCGUGGGGAGCGAACAGG
rnacentral:rRNA from 1 species